rnacentral:rRNA from 1 species
CACGUAGGGGGCGAGCGUUGUCCGGAUUUAUUGGGCGUAAAGAGCUCGUAGGCGGUUGCGUAAGUCGGAUGUGAAAACUCAGGGCUCAACCCUGAGAUGCCAUCCGAUACUGCGUUGACUAGAGUCCGGUAGGGGAGCAUGGAAUUCCUGGUGUAGCGGUGAAAUGCGCAGAUAUCAGGAGGAACACCAGUGGCGAAGGCGGUGCUCUGGGCCGGAACUGACGCUGAGGAGCGAAAGCAUGGGUAGCAAACAGG